rnacentral:lncRNA from 1 species
UUUCCACUCCUAUUAUCUUGACCAUGAUUACCACAGAAGUGGUUACCAUUCUUAUCAUGAUAAUUUCCCCCACGAUGGUUAUCAUUGUUCCGAUGGCCGCUGCCACCGGUACGAUUAUUAUCGUGUUGCUGGUCAUUACCUUUUGGUUGUGCUGACUCAUUAUCGCGUUCCAAUAACUGAGCCCUAUUCACAACAUCUGAAUAUAAACAAAGUUUGUGAGAAAUGAGUUAUUGACGUAUAUCGGGUUUCAAACCUCUUAGAAACAUUCGCGUCAUUCGCUCCUCAUUAUCGACCAAAUGGGAUACAAACCGGGAUAACUCUGCAAAUUUAGCCUCGUAUUGCGACAUGAUCAUAUUUUUUUGCUCCAACUUGAUAAACUCCACCUCUUUCAUGUGACAAAUACUUUCAGAAAAGUACUUGUCAUUGAACAGCUCUUGGAACUUCUCCCAAAACAUCUUGAGUGCGUCAGGUUGGGUAUAUUUUACAGAUUCCCACUAGUAAUCUGCUUCUUCACGCAACAUAAAGGUGGCAAAGGGAACCUUUUGCUCCUCGGAGCAUCCCAAGACAUCAAAUAUCUUUGUGAUCUGCUUUAACCAUGUCUCCACCUUAAGUGGUUCUGGCUUUCCCAAAAACUUCGGUGGUCCCAACUCUUUGAACUGCUUAGCGGUGACCGACCGUGGGUUGCCAUUAUUUCCACCUAUAUUUUGAAUAGGAGUCUCUUACCUGAUGUUGCAUGAAUUGCAUAAAGCCUCUGAACAUCCCAUCGUUCAUCAUUUGAUCGAUGUUGUUAUUUACCUGAGGAUUAUUGUCUUCCUGUUGCACAUUAUCCUAGGUAUUGAUCGUUGGUGAAUCAGCGGUCUCAUGUGCUUCAUUGCUUAUCUCAACAUUUUUGGAUGCCAUUUUCAAAUACUGCCACAAAACAAGGGUUAAUUAACAUAUCACAUAUUAUCCCUAUACUCUGAUCGACCAAUUAAAUACCAAAUAAACUCUCCCCUCCUAGUUCUUGUCUCACAUCUCAGCCAGGGAUCAUAUCCCUAAGCUUUGAUACCAACUGUGACGCCCCCAAAACAGGUAUACAUCACCAAUCUUGAGUCGCCAGAUACAUGGUAAAUAAUUUCAAAUACAACUUAAUUAUACAACAGUCGUGUAAAAUACGACAAAACAUAGCUGAGAGUUUAAACAAGAAUAUUGUCAUCUAGACAAUAUCCACACUCAAUGGUGUCCUCAUUACAAUUAUUAUCACAUUAUUCGGUAGAAUAGUGAGGACUACUAAAGCCAUUUAUCCUGGACCAUCACUCUGUUCCUCGACUCGUCCCAGCUAUAUUCUCAUUUCCUAAAGAGAACAAUGAAAGAAAGGGUGAGCUCAACUAGCCCAGUAAGAAAUAUCAUGGCAAAGAUAAUGCAUAAUAAAUUAUUCUUAGCCUUCAACAUUAUAACAACUGAUAGAAUACAAUAGACAACAAGUUUUAGAUCAACAACUGCAGCGAAAAUAAGUAAUCCAUUAGAAGAGUCAAGUAGAGCAUAAAAUCUACUAUCUUCUAUGAUUUAAAAAGAUUUUCAUCAACUUUAUCGCCGAGACUCAUCUUAACAAAUAAAACUGAAUCAUCCCUGCAUCACGACCAAGGAUAUUCAUGUAAUCAUCAAUGGUCAUGAUUGUACCAAAUAAUCCCUGGUCAUAAUCAUACCAAUAACUGUCCAUCAAUGAACUACAGGCCAAUGAGGACUUUCACCGCAUCAUUCGUCACAUUACGGUCAUGAUUAUACCGAAUAAUCCCUGGUCAUAAUCAUACCAAGUCCAUCUAUGCACGUAAGCCAAAGAUGACUUUCAUCACAAUAUAAGCAUGAGGAUGAUGACAAUGGCAUAAUAAUUCAAUAAAACAAGUUCAAGGAUAAAUUUUAAAGAUUUAUAAUUUAAUUUAUCCAGAAUUCAAUAACGUUCAAAUUGUCAACAUGAUACUGCUUUGUAGAGUAAAAUUCAAGAAUAAUAUUCAUGUACCAAAAAUAAUUUGGACAGAAAAAAAAUUAUUUCGGGUGAAUAGUACCCCAUGAAUAGUACUUCGGGAAUAGUACCCCGUGAAUAGUACCCCGACACGAAAAGUAACUUGAAUACCCGAGUGAAUGAUACUAGAGUGAAUAGUAAUCAGGUGAAUAGUAAUCUGUGAAUAGUAACUCGUAAAUAGUACUCUGGCACGAAAAGUGCCCCGAAUACCCGAGUGAAUAAUACUAGAAAGAAUAGUAACCGGGUGAAUAGUAACCCAUGAAUAGUAACUCGUAACAGAAAAAUACCAAAGAAAAUGAUAUUUCAUGACGAGUACAAAAGAAAUGAUAUCCAAGAUGAGUAUAAUAGAAUAUACGAAACUGCAAAUAGAUUUUCACCCGCCAUGCGGUAAUCCACGUAGACAGAUCAUUUCUACAAUUUAAUAAAGAAUGAAUACAAAGGAUCAUUCACCAUGCAUGCGGUAAUCCACAUAGACAGGUUAUUCCAACAAAAUAAUAAAGAAUGGAAUAACAGAAGAAUUCACUAUGCAUGUAAUAGACCGCACAGACAGAUUAUUCCCAACAGAAUAAUAAAGAAUGGAACCAGGUCAUGCGAUAAUCCGGAUAGACAGGAUAUUCCAACAGAAUAAUAAAGAAUAGAAUAACAACAAAAUUCACCAGGCAUGCGAUAGACCGCACAUACAGGUUAUUCCAACAGAAUAAUAAAGAAUGGAAUAACAGAAGAAUUUCACCAUGUAUGCGGUACUUCGCAUAGACAGGUUAUUCCAACAUAAUAAUAAAGAAUGGAAUAACAACUCUUCACGAGUAUUGAAAGAAAAUAACUCUCUUCAUGAAUACGAAAGAAUAAUACCCCUUACCUUAGAAGAAAACUAGAUACUUGAAUAAUGAGGUAGUGGACUUCUCUUCUUCUUUCUCUCUAUAAUUUCUCUCUAUAAUAAUUGCUCUAUAGCUUUAGUGAAUUGGCAAGAAAUGAUGGAAGAAUGAGAUUCUAUUUAUAGGAAAAUAUAGUUUCGAUAAUUGCACGUUUUGGGGCUCAAAAUAUUACAGUGUAAUACCUUCCUCUUUUUCUUCAUUUUUAAUUUAUUGCUGCAAGUAUUAUCAAACUUGCACAACCUCCCUUAAUAGUAAAUAAUGUGAAUCAAUAGUUCAAUCAUGUGAUUCAAUAGUUAUAAUCAUAUGAAAAUACGAAUUAUAGUAUAGUACCUCCAUGUAUACCUCCAUUUUUAACUUAGUUAUGCAAGUAUUAUCAAUCUUGCACCACCUUCCCUAAUAGUACAAGAAUUUGAAUCAAUAGUACACACAUUUGAACAAAUAGUUAUAAUCAUGUGAAUUAAUAGCAAUUAAUUUCUUAUUUAUCCGUUUAAUUACCCGAUUGGUCAAUAUAAUCUCCAGACAUCAAUUAUUAUCGAAAUAAAUGUCGAUCUUCACUAACACUAAUAAUUCUAACACAAUGGAACUAUCAAUUUCAUCUUUAAACAACACGAACUUAUUCAUCAUUAAUAUUAUAAUUCACAAUAUUUAACAACCAGGUCGUUCCCAGGAAAGAGGGGGCUUUCCGAUAAGGAUUUCUCCUUAUUGGCGCGCAAUUAGAUGACCAAACCUCUCCUUGACAGAACUUCUAGACAUUGUAAAUAUUGCAAUUUAAUAAUAUGAAUAACUUUGUCGUCUCAAUUAUUGAUUUAAUAAUAUAACAUAUUAUGCAGAUGAUACUGUGACAAUAAUUGAAUCAAUAAUAUGAGAGAUAUGAUGCAGCAAUUACUGUAGCAAUAAUUGAGUAUAACUGAGUGACUUCUCAUGUAAGCAUCAAUAAUCAAUACCGUGUGCUACUAUGCAACCACGCGUAUUACUGUACUUUUACUACCGGGUAGUUCAACAGUUUAACGGUAAAACUUUCGCCGUUAUUUUUAUAAAAAGAUAAUUAUGUCAUUUUCUAACGGCGACAAUACUUCUAUUAUAGGGUCCACCAAUGAUUGCUCCGUCGUAGGGAUAUUCCCCGACAAAAAGAAUAUUUCCCGACUAAUCGAAUAUUAUAUAACAACUUGUAUACUUUGAGAAAUUCAUAAAUAUUACCCACAACUAUAACAUUAUAUCAAAUCCAUACCAUAAUAUUCAAAAAAAUAUUUUGAGAAAUUUAAAUCUUUAUUCAUAAAAUUUGGGGUCUCACAGUAACUUUAGAAUUUACUAGAGAUAAUACAUACAUACACACACAUGGUGUGGUUUCGGUUUUAUGUGUGCGGUUUUGGCUAGUAACCAAACCGGAACCGUAAAUUUGGUUAUUCAACCCACUUAAAAUCGCCACAUACGCCAGAACUGUUGGUGCGGUUUUAAUUGGUGCGGUUCGUACGGUUUUUAGUGCGGUUUCAGUUCCAAUUUGGUUACUUGCUCAGCCCUAGGGACCACCAAUGGUAACAGAGUGCAAUUUUCUAGGAGGAAAAAAAUUACUAAAAUAAAGUGCUUCUUUUAGGCGCACUAUUCUGAAAUUCAUUUUUUAAAAGAGAAAAUAAUCUUUUGACAUUUCUAAUUUUACAUGGAAUUCGACUUUGCACUAUAAGCUUUAGGUUACUUUGGUUUGCGUCACACCAAUGUAAUAAAAUUAUAAUGUAUUAAGUUAUUACAAUGAUAUGAACUAUUUAAUAUGUUUAGUUCAUUUGUUACAUGUAUUAAUGUUAUUACAUCAAAUUUUAAGCAAAAUAGUAAUUUUUAAUUUACUUUAUUCAUAACAGACAAUUAUAUAAUUUAGUGAACUAAAUAAAAUUUUGAAUAUAAUGUAAUAAUAUUAGAAUUAUUACAUAAAUUCUAAGAACCAACCAAAUAAAUUUGUCGUAAUAACUUAUUACUAUUGUAUUACAACUCUAUUACAUUACGUAGACUAUUACAUUACAUCAAAUUUCUACUCAGUGAACCAAACAAGGUAUUCAGACCCGGACCGGUCAUCAAACCGAAAAAGGUACCGGGUGAUGGAUCAUUGAUUUAACCAAUGUUCGAACCGUUAUAUAUUGACUUAGUGACGUCAUUAAUAUAUAAAAAUAUAUAUUAUUAGUAAUAAAUAAAAUUUUAAAACAUAUCAUCUUUUAUGAACUAAAACACAAUAAAGUUGUGUUACAAUAUUACUAAAAGUGGUUAAUUUUAAUAUUAAAACUUUUUUGGUACAAAAAAUAGUUAAAAUCAGUUUACUGAAUCAACUUAACCGGUUUUCCCGGUUGAACCACCAGUUCGACCGGUGAUCAACCGGUUCUAUUGGGUUUUGACCAAAAAUAAGUUAAUGGUCUAAACCGAAUUUUAGUGUUGACCAAUUCCAUUUUUUACUAGUUGAACCGAAGGUUCAAUCGGAGUUUAAUAACUAUAGAACCAAACCCCACCUUAGUUGGAGUUUUUAAUUGCUCUUUUUAUUGAUGAAGGGAGGUUCAAGUUUAUUUUCGAGCAAUUCAGGUUAUGCUAAUAAUUUAUACAAAAUCAUCCCGAUAGUGAUUACUUUUAUUAUAGUUAAAAUAAGGCUUAAAUAUGAAUUACUACCCUAAACUAUAAACCAUAUUCCACUUUAGGGAGUAAAGUUUUAAUUUUUUCAAUUAGGUGAUUGAACUAUCAAUUUUUUUUAAUUGCAACAAAUUGAGCCGCCACGUCAGAAAUUGCUGACGUGGCCCGAGAAGUGGAGCCAUCACCAGUUGAUGUGUAAAUAAAAAAAAUUUAUUUUAAUACUUAUUUACACAUUUAUUAUAUAUUAAGGGAAAAUUCAUCAAAUUACUUAUAUUAAUCAUUUAAACUAAAUAGAAACAACAAAACUAUCUAAAAUCUAUACCAUCUCAGAUCAAAAACAACAAAAAAUCUAAAACAACAAAAUCUAUAAUCAUCAGAAACUCAUUUCAGCCAAAUAUUUAAGAUCAAGAACUUCUUUGUGGUUUUACCGACAACCAUUUGGAACAUUACGAACAACUUCCUUUCCAAUCGAUCUUUUAACAAGUCCGAGGGUUUGAUGGUUGUGGUCUUCUACGAUAUGCCUAGUAAGGGAGUUUUGGGUGUUUUGGCAUGCCGUUUUGAUCAUGUUUGGGAGUUCCUGAUGGAGGCUGGCAUGGGUUUGGUCGGUUUCCUAAAAGUGUAUGUCCUUGAUGUUGGGUUUUCUAUCUUGAUUUGGCGGUUUGGAUGGUUGGAUGUUGGAUCUGAUCUUGCCAGUGGGCUGAUUCCGGUAUAGUCUGUAUGUGCUUCCUAUCUAGCCUCUUGAUUUAUUAAUUAUUUUAUUAGUGUUCAGAUUUGGAUGUUUUAGUUGUACUGUGGCCAUCUUGAUCCGAUGUUCUCGUCGGAAACUUGGGCUCCAGUUCACGGUUGCCUAUUGAAGAGUCUUCAAUAGAGUCUUCUAUGGCUUCGGGUGGGUCAUUGUCUACUGGAUUUGGGUAAAAUUUUCCGUCCGGGCCGAUGGCGAAGGGGGUUAGAUUAAAAAGGGGUUUUAGGCGGAGGAGAGAGAAAAGUGAUUUGGGGGAUUUGAGAGGGGGGUGAAAUGGAGGUUUUAGAGAGAUUUUGUGGGAGGAGAGAGAAAGUGGAGGCGGAGGAUUGAAGGGAGAGAGGGAAAGGAAACUGUUGAUUGCCAUUUUUAGAGAGAGAAGGUCGAGGAGAGAGAGUGAAGCUAUGGAGGGUUUGUUAUAUUAAUUUGUUAUUUGACUAUUUUACCCCAUAUAAAAUAAGAUUUGUUUAUUUCAUGAUUAAAAAAUUAUAUUUUUUGCCACACCAGCUUCUUAAGUCCCUACACAAGUUGCCACGUCAGCAAUUUCUGACGUGGCAUGUUCAAUUUAUUGUAAUUGGAAAAAAUUAAUAGUUUAAUCAUCUAAUUGACAAAAUUAAAAGGUGGAUUACUGAAGUGAAAUAUGACCUAUAGUUUAGGGUACUAAUUCAUAUUUACGCCUUAAAAUAAAGAGUUAAAUACAGUGACACUUCCUCUAAAUAACUAUAAUAACACUCACAUCCCCUCUACUUUUUUAAGUAACAGUUAGUACCCAUGCAAGUUUUUAGGGUUAACUAAAUAGAUAAAAUUACAUAUUUACCGUUGUAUGUUAUCAAAUUUUAAUUCUGAAUAAUGUAUACAUGUUUAAUUAUCCAUUUUUAAUACAAUACAUUUUAAUUAUAAUUUUAUUUGUAAUUAAGACUGUUUCAUUUAAAUAAUUUAGUUUAAUUAACAUAUUUUUGGAUAAGUGAUACAAAUAUUAAGAAUUUUAAAUUAUAUUAUUAAUGAAGUUGUUCUAAUUAGAGUGAUUGAGUAUGUUGAUAUUUUAGUUUUUGGUGUUUAAUUAACGACAACAAUUAUUAUUUGAAUUCUUAGUUUCAUAUUAUGAUUUUUAUAUGUUAAAUUUUCUUGAGUAUAUGUCAAAAUUUAGGAUAUUUAUGAUUUUGAUUACAUUUUUUGUAUACAAUUGAUGUUGUUUUUGUGCAAUGUUGAAUAAAAAAAUAUAAUAAUAUUUAUUACUACCUCUAUCUUGUAAAAAGAUUUUUCUCUUAAUAUAUUUUUUCUUUUUUUGAGUAGCAACAUUUGUCAUUUUUACUGUAAAUAAUUAUGUCCAAGUGUGACUUAUGUUUAGUUUAAUAUUUGAGAAAAAUAAUUAAUAUAAUUUUUAAAAAAUUUUAUAUGAAUAAUAAGAUUCGUUCUGUAAUAAUAAGUUUGUUUUACGUAAAUUUUAAUAUUUGGAAAAAAUAAUUAUAAUUUUUUUUGCGUUAAUUUGUACUUUUAUGGCUAUUAAAAUUUUACUUUUGAAUUACAAAAAAAUAUGUUUGAAUGUAUAUUACGUAAAUUUUAAUCUUGGGAAAUUUAAUUAGUAAAAAGUGUUUUGACUUUAUUUUCUUGAUAAAUAAAUAUUUAUUAUUUUUUCAAGUUAAGUAAAAAUUAUAAUAUACAAAUUUAUAUUUAGUGAAUAUAUUAAACAUUAUAACUUGGAGGGUGUUUUAAACAUUAUAUUAAAAAUAUGUUUGGAUAUUAAUUAGUCAAUCACACUAGGGGUAGUGAAUGUUACAUACUAUAGACUAGAGGGGUACUGAGUGUUACUUGAAAAAAGUAGACGGGUGGUGAGUAUUAUUAUGAUUAUCUACAAGGGGUGUCAGUGUAUUUUACUCUAUUAAUUAGUCAACCAUACUAGGGGUAGUGAAUGUUACAUACUACAGACUAAAGGGAUACUAACUGUUACUUGAAAAACUAAAAAAGUAGUGAAUGUUAUUAUGAUUAUCUACAAGGAAUGUCAGUGUAUUUUAUUCUAAAAUAAAUAUAUUAAAUUAUAUUCUUUCAAAUCUUCCAUAUUGAAGAACCAAUAUCACAAAGUUCAGUAAUUUUUUAACGGCAAAAAGAACUUUUACACCACUGUGGUUGUAGUGUUUUAAGCAAUUAGUCAUUGUACUUUUAAAAUAUUCAAUUAUCCCACUAUGCUUUUUAAAAAUAUACAAUCAAGCCAUUCCGUCCAUUUUUCGUAACUGACAUUAACAAAUCAGCUUGAAUUUCUUGCGUGUCUUUUUUGAAAAAAAUAAAAAAUUACGUGGCAUAUGCUUAAUUAUGUGGUUUAUCCUUAUGUGGCAACAAAAUAAUUUUUUAAUGAAUUUUCUUUAUAAUUUUUUCUUCUCAAACAAAAAAAUAAAAUAAUAAAAUCAUUAUGUGGUAAAAAAAUAAUUAAAAUAAUAAUAAAAUUAAAAUAAAUAUUUUAAUUCAUUUUUUUAUAAUUUUUUCUUUUCCUUUUAUCUUUUCCUUUCUUUUAAUAAUUAUUUUUAUUUUAAAAAUUAAUUCCAAAUAAUACAAAUAAUAUAUCAAAAUUUUUGUAUCAAUGAGAUCUAUUACAACAUUAUAUUAAUUCCUACAAAAAUUAAAAAUUAAAAAUCAUUAAUUACGUGGCAAAAAAUAAUUAUAAUAAUAAUAAAAUUAAAAUAAAUAUUUUAAUUCAUUUUUUUAUAAUUUUUUCUUUUCCUUUUAUCUUUUCCUUUCUUUUAAUAAUUAUUUUUAUUUUAAAAAUUAAUNNNNNNNNNNNNNNNNNNNNNNNNNNNNNNNNNNNNNNNNNNNNNNNNNNNNNNNNNNNNNNNNNNNNNNNNNNNNNNNNNNNNNNNNNNNNNNNNNNNNCGUGGUGGAGACUGGUGGUGGGUGGCGUGGCGUGGUGGACAUUGGUGUUUGGGUGAUUUUAGGCUUAUUUAGUCAUUUUGAAGGAGAAAGAAAAUGGGAAAUAAAAAAUUAUUAAAAAAUGAAUUAAAAUAUUUAUUUUAAUUUUAUUAUUAUUUUAAUUAUUUUUUGCCACAUAAUCAAUAAUUUUUUUUUGUGUUGCCACGUCAGAAAAUAAUAAUCUUUUGAUAUUUUUUUCAAUGUCACGUGUGUAAUUAUUUGACGUCCGUCCAAGAAAUUUGACGGAAUGGCCUGAUUGUAUAUUUUUAAAAAGUGCAGUGGGAUAAUUUAAUAUUUUAAAAGCACAGUGGCUAAUUGCUUAAAACACUAUAACCACAGUGGGGUAAAAGUACUUUUUGCCAUUUUUUAACGCAUAACAAAAUUUUCAAUUUUUUGUAUCCCACUCUCAUACUUAUAUUGAAGUAUCCAUCGAUGCGCAACUCAUCACGUUUCCUUCACCGUUGUAUUAUUACAUUUAUAAUAUAUAUAAUAAAAACACAUUCUUCAUAUUUUUGAAUUAAAAAUUUUAUUAUGGGACGGAGUGUAACACCUCGUAUAUAAAGACUCCAACUAUUACUUUCAGCGGUCCGGAUGUUAAGCUCACCCCUUAUCCAACUCACCCAAGCUCACCCCCUCUUUUGGGAUGGACUCGGCGACGGUUCGGUCAUACAACUGUAGUUUAUACUUUUAGCGACGGACAACAUAUAGCGUCGCUAAAAAUAUAGACGACGAUUGUAUGACCAAACCGUCGUCGGGUCCGUCGCUAAAGAGGGGUGAGCUUGGGUGAGUUAGAUAAGGGGUGAGCUUAAGAUCCGGACUCUUACUUUCAGUUAUGAUCUUUUAAAUAAGUUAUAUAACGUUAAGAUGAUACAAGAAGAUAGUCUCGUUAUAAAACAAAAAAUAAAUAUAAUAAAUAAUUAUAAAAUUAAUAUAAUGAAUAAUUAUUUUCAUGAAAGUAUUGACAAAAAAUUACAUAUUAAAAAUUCUAGGAAAGAUAAAACUCUCUAUAAAAAUGACACUAGAUUUUUUAUCACUCACUCAUUUGAAAAUAGAACAGAGAGUGAUUGAAAAUUUUCCCAUCUACAAUUCAAAAAAAAAAAAUCAAAUAAGAAGGAUAUAUUUAAUUAUAUAAUAUUAAAAGUAUUCUUGAGUGAAAAAUUGUUGUCUUUAAAAUUAAAUUAAUUUUCAUCACAAUUGUUAUAUAUUAAGAUUUUAUAAAUUAUAUAGGAUAAAUGAGUAUAAUAAGUGGAGAAUUUAGGAAUUAGGAGAAAUGAUGCAAAUCCCCCAAAACCCCAACUGAGAGCAAUUAAAAAGGAACUGAAAAAUAAUACUCCCUCCGUCCCAAGAUUAAAGUAUUUAUUACUAUUUUAGAUAAUCUUAAGUUAAAUAUCUACUUACCUUAAAUAAUUUAUAUUUAAUAAUAAUUUGGUUAUAAUACCCUUAUGCUACGUUUGGAUUGGAAUAAUGAAUGUGGAAAUGGAAUGAUUCAUUAAAAAUGUGUUUGGUAGCGAUUGGAAUGGAUUGAAGCAUUCUUAAUUCUACCAAAUUUAUAAAUUUUAUUAUUGGGAAAGAAGAGUAUGUGUUAACGCCAAGUUUCACCGGCGCUUCCAAUCACCAAAUCCACGCAUUGAAUCCAGCACAAUAACAGAUCACACGCGAAGCUUGACGACUUAUGCCGCCGGGGGAUAGCUCUGGUGCGAGAAUGAGUAUAUGCCAUUUACAAGGUUUAACAAUGGAGGCUUUAGUGUUUAGUGCUCAACAGUAUAUUACCUGUUAAUCUGAAAUUUAACCUUGUAUUUAUAGCCAUUCUCAUGCCUUAGAAUCCACUUCUGAGUCUGAUUAGGACUCCUAAAUAUGGCAGUUACCAUUAUUUGAGUCCAAUAUAAUCUCCUUGAAAGGUGCAAGUUGGAUAUAAUCCAAAUACUACCUUUGGAGUUACCUUAUACAGAUAUAAUUAGGACUAGAAUCCUUAACCAUUUAAACCCCUUAUGACUCCGGACUCCACACAAGGGCUAACCCACUGUAUAGGCCCAAUUCAACCAAAUCCCUAUGCACUGGUGUGGGCUCCGACCAAAAGGACUCGGAUGCCCGACCCCGAACGCCAUAAACUCGAAUAGGACUUCGGCCUAGAUGACUCGGAUCCUCGAACCUGAUCACCAUCAACUAGAAUAGGAUUCCGGCCUAGAGGACUUGGAUUCCCGAACCCGAACACCUUCAACAUCCCUGUGGGCUUCGGCCCAAUGGGCUUAACAUCCCAUUCUGGUGUUAGGCCUUCAGCCCACAUGAAGUCAGUAAAACGCUCCCAAACAUUGUCCCCCAAUCUCUUGUUAUAAUGUAUUUAUAAUUAGAGACUUGAAAAGACAUGAACUUGAAGAGUCACGACAGUAAAUGAUGAGUCUUCUGGGGAACCUAAACGGUUUUUCUUCAUUUUUGAAAUGCUACAUGCCUUCCCAAGAUCGGGCUCCACCUUCCAUAAAUAGUCGCCCUUGGGAUUCGUGCAGCCUCAUUAUAAAAACCCCCACCCAUCCAACACUAUCACUUUUCUCAGUCCUCCUCAUUUCAAAUUUUCCACUCAAAUUCUUCCAGCGAAGGAGAUUUCAGACGAGCAACCCACCUUUCCAAAUCCUUUUUAUUGAAGUUUUCUCUAAUUCAAACUCCUUUUUGUAUGUUUUUUCUCCUAAAACUUCACAUAUUUACCUCAUUCAUCUCAAACGGCUGAUUUCAGCAUUCCUCCCACCACUGAGCAAAUUCCACCAACUGUCCCUACCACAACCAUAGCCACCGGAGAUUUGAUUCCAGUCGAUUUACCAGUGGCCCCUACCAAAACCACUUCAGAUAGUGUCGAAUCCAAAAUCCGAAGCAUUUAUGCUUCCGAAACUGACUUUUCUCAUGUCAACACCAAGUCCACAAUCACCUCAUCCCAACUUUCUGACAUCCGAACCCUCUUCAAUAUCCCAAAAGAGUACAAACUUCGGGUGCCAGAGUCCCACGAACGAAUGUUCUGGCAUCCCGAAGGCGAUUGGGUUGUCAUCCCUAUUUGGGCCUUCAAGUAUGGGGUUCGGUUCCCCCUUUAUGAAUUCAUCUCUUCCUUCCUCUGUUUUGUGGGGAUCAGGUUCGCACAGCUGGUGCCGAACUCGUACAUCCACUUGAUCAGUUUUAUCGCCUUGUGCCAGGAGCCUGGCAUCACUCCUGGUGUAAGACCCCAAUUUUAUGAAAUAAAAGUAUUCGAUUUUUCUUAUAAUUAUUAUUCAGUAAAUGGCUAAAUUGAUAAAAAGUUAAAGUUAAGGGUGAUAUAUGUAAAUUUUUCAAAAUAAGCAAGUGGUUAUAAGAUAUUCAUUAUUGUCGGGGAAUAUUCGUUUGGUCGUGGAAUAUUCUUGUUGUCGAGGAAUAUUCGUACGACGGCGUAAUUAUUUAUGGGCCCCAUAACAGAAUAAUUUUUGGAUGAAGAAAACGACAAGUAUAAGUUUUUAUAAAUAACGACGUAGUUAUUACCGUUAAAACUAUUGGAAUACCCGGUGGGUAAAGUAAAGUAAUAUGCGUUGUUGCACAGUAGCACACGGUAUUACACAAUAUUUUUAGAUUAUUGAUACUUACGUAAGAAGGCACUACUCAAUAAUUGUUACAGUAAUUACUGUUCAAUAUUUUAUUUUAUUGAUUCAAUAAUUGCUACGUUGAUAUUUUAUAUUAUUGUUGUUUUAAUAAUUAUCACUGCACAAUAUUUCCAUUAUCAGAUCAAUAAUUCAUAUUAUUUGAAUAAUAUUAUUAGAUAACAUUAUUAACAAUGUCUAAAGAAGUUCUGUAUAGAAAAGGAGUUUGGUCACCUAAUUGCGCGUCAGUAAGGAGAAAUCCUUAUCGAAAAGCCUCCUUCUUUCCUGGGAACAACCUGGUUGUCAUUAAUGUGAUUUUGUAAUAUUAUUUGUUAAUAAUUAAUUAUUGAUUUAUAUGAUAAAGAAAUAUUUAUUUUAUGUGGAUAUAAAUGAAUGAAUUAAUGUUGAGGUGUUCUAUCAGUUUUUUGUCAGAAGGAGGUGUUUUCUCAGUUUUUUGUCAGAAUGGAGGUAUUAAAAAUCAUCCUUAUAUGGAUUUCAGACAUUUUCGGUUUGGAAUUUGGAAAAACUUUCUUCUACAAAGUUGUAGAGAAUUUAAUUUCCUAUGGAAUGGACAUAAAAUUCAUUUUUUUUUUGAUAAAAGGGCAAUUUAUUAUGAAUUAUUAAAGUUUUGGAAAUAAAUGCUUUUAUUAAAAAUAUAGGUGGGCCCCACUUUUCGUUGGUAUGGAAAAUCUGAAUUUUGGUGGGCCCCAUUGGUGGUGGCUGAAUUUUGGUCCAAGAGGGGUGCGUAGAAAUUUUUUGAAAAAAUAUUAUUUUAUUAAUUUAGUCUACUUUGGCGUUCUAUCAUUUUUCUAUAAAUAGGUGCGUAGUUAGAAUUGAAAAUCACACUAGAAUCAGAAGUUUCUUUCUCUAUAAUAUCGAGAGUAUUUUUGUGAGUAUUUAGAUACUUUGAGAGUUGAUAAGCUGUGCAAAUUUUCUUCAGUAUUAUAUCCAAUAUUUCAGCUAGAAGUAUUAUUCUUUUGAGGUAAGGGAUAGUAAGGGAUGUUAUUUUCUUUGUAAAUGAUGUUAUUUAUUUCAAUAUCAUUACACCAAAAUAUUGGUAUGAAUUUUAUUAUGAAAUUUUUACAUUUUCAUGUUGAGGUUACUAUUCACGUAUACAACACUAUUCACAUAUAUGACACUAUUCACGGAUACGGUACUAUUAAUGAGUACUAUUCACGAAGUAUAAUUUUUCUUAUAAAAUUUCUACCUUUUCGUAUCGGGGUUACUAUUCACGUACACGACACUAUUCACGUAUACGCCACUAUUCAUGUAUACGGUACUAUUCAUGUAUACGACACUAUUUAUGUAUAUGACACUAUUUACGUAUGCGAUACUAUGUACGAAUACGAGUUACUAUUUACGAGUUACUAUUCACAGGACACUAUUCACGACAAAAUUGGUUUCUUUUUUUGACCAAAUUAUCGUUGAUUUAUGAAUCUUACUCUUAAAAUUAACUCCAUGUUUUGAUCAUAUUAUUUUUAUUAUCAUAUAUAAUAUUUUUAUAACCCUGGUGAUGAAAUUUCUCUUUCACUGGAGUGUAAAGAUGGGUAGAUUAUUGGUAUAAUCGUGACUAUGGGUUCUCUUUGGCCAGUAGUGCAAAGAUGAAUUGUUUACUGGUAUGAUCAUGGCCAUUGAAUUUAUAAUUGAAUAUCUUUAGCUUAAGUGCAAAGGGAAUUGAUUAACAUGGUUAUAAUUAUUGUUUAUAUAAAUUCUGAAAUGAUUAUAUAUUUCUUUGAGAUAUUAAUAUCUUUGGUCCGUAGUGUAAAGAUGACUUGUUGAUGAAUAUCUUCGGUCCGUACUGCAAAGAUGACCUGUUGUUGAAUAUCUUUGGCCCGUAGUGCAAAGAUGUCCUGUUGUUGAAUAUCUUUGGCCUGUAGUGCAAAGAUGAACUGUUGAUGAAUAUCUUUAGCCCGUAGUGCAAAGAUGAAUUUAUUACUAUGAUUAUGAACAUGAACUGUGAUUUGGUAUAACCAUGAUCUUUGAUGUUUCAGGUAAAGACAGGUGAUGAAAAUUAUUUUCGUCCUGGAUGAGAAGAGGAAUUUAGAACUACAAUUAUGAUUAUGAGUUAUUCACGUGAUUGUGGACAUGAGCUGUUGACUGAUGGUACAGGGUUAAAACUUUGUUGGUGGACUUUUAACAUGGAGAAGAUAAUAGACUUUAUGAUCUAUUUGACUCUUCUAAUGGAUUGCUCGUUCCGCUGCAACUAUGGUUGAAAAGUUUUAUCAUCUACUAUAUGUUCUAAAUCUCUGAUUCAUUACUGAUGAAGGUUAUUGAUAAUUUAAUUAUCGUUAGUCAUGAUAUUAUUUAUUGGGCUAGUUGUGCUCACCCUUUUACUUCACAAUUCCUUUCAGGUAAUAAGAGUGUAGGUGGGUCGAGUGGGGGUAACAGGGGAAUAGAAUGGUGGUCUAUAGAUGUUGAGGUUCUCCAUAAAAUAGUAUAGAAAUAAUUUUAUUGAGAAUUUAAGAUAAGUGUGUCGUAUUUUAUACGUCAUUUAACCGUUGAUUUUGGUGAACCGAAUAGGGUGAGGUGAAACCAACUUUGGAAGGGUGUUUUGCCACUAUCAUACAAGAUGUCUAAUGACCUACGACUUUGUGUUAUCAUAAGAUAAGGUUGUGCACAUCCACUUGCUGAUUAUAUCUACGAGCACUACCUAUAUAAUCUUGGAGUUUGGUUGAAAUAUAAUUCUCAAUUGGAGGCAAUGAUGAUAAUUAUAUGGAAAGAGAAGACUCACCAUUGGAAAGAACAUGAUAGUAAUAUUCUCAUUUUUCUUUGGGGUUUAUUGGGUCAACCAAGGAUAGUUCUUUCAUGUACGAAGGUUUCCUUGAGCAUUUUCCAAAGAUUUUAAUUUCUAAAACAAUUAUUGACUGUACCUUUAUGUAAGGUACCAUUGUAAGGUAUCAAUGUGAGGUGCUAUCCAAUUAAGGGAUGAGAGUCACAGUUGGUAUCCACAACAUAUGUGUUGUUGUAUUUUGCACGAUAGUUGGAUUAAUGAAGUUUGUAGUUAUUUUCUGUAGCAUAUAUUUGGCGACUCAAAAUGGGUUGUGUAUACCUAUUUUGGGGGCGUCACACCUGGCCUAGAUUUCUUCUUUGUCCCCUUCACCAUCGGCUGAUCAAAAGAACCUAGCCUUCAGCAACUUAACUGUGUGCUCGGUCGAGCCACCUUUAUAAAGACCCAAUUCUAGCAACAAAGGAUGGCAUCCACAGUGGGUCUUUAUGAGGGGGACCGACCUCAAACUCCUUCCAAACAGGGCCACCCCCGAAGAUCCCAUUGCAAAGGUGUCCAAGUUCCCAAAGGAUUGGUUUGACACCUUCAAAAAGUUUUACAAGAAGUUACAGAAGACUGAAUGGGGUUUGGAGGUUUUAUCCAAAGAGGGCUGGCUCUACAAACAUGGCUGUAAGUUAUAAAACUCGAACCCUUUCAUGCCUUAACUUUAUCUUCUAUUGUUCUUUACUGACUGUUUCAUCUCUCUAGCAGUAACCAUUUUCAAACCCGAGGGGGCUGAUUCCUCCUUGGUGCCUUCGCCAAUAACGAUUGAACCUAUCCGCCCCCUGGUCAUAGACGAUUCACCUGAUGAAGAGACCAUCCUGAUUGUAGAGCUAUCAACUGGUUCUGCAUCGGGUCCAACCACUCCGAACACCACCACCGCCGAACCCGCCAACAAAAACGUACUGAAGAUGAACCAGGCUGAAAAGAUGGCCUUGUUAAAGAAAAUGAAGAAGCCUCCUCCAAAGNNNNNNNNNNNNNNNNNNNNNNNNNNNNNNNNNNNNNNNNNNNNNNNNNNNNNNNNNNNNNNNNNNNNNNNNNNNNNNNNNNNNNNNNNNNNNNNNNNNNNNNNNNNNNNNNNNNNNNNNNNNNNNNNNNNNNNNNNNNNNNNNNNNNNNNNNNNNNNNNNNNNNNNNNNNNNNNNNNNNNNNNNNNNNNNNNNNNNNNNNNNNNNNNNNNNNNNNNNNNNNNNNNNNNNNNNNNNNNNNNNNNNNNNNNNNNNNNNNNNNNNNNNNNNNNNNNNNNNNNNNNNNNNNNNNNNNNNNNNNNNNNNNNNNNNNNNNNNNNNNNNNNNNNNNNNNNNNNNNNNNNNNNNNNNNNNNNNNNNNNNNNNNNNNNNNNNNNNNNNNNNNNNNNNNNNNNNNNNNNNNNNNNNNNNNNNNNNNNNNNNNNNNNNNNNNNNNNNNNNNNNNNNNNNNNNNNNNNNNNNNNNNNNNNNNNNNNNNNNNNNNNNNNNNNNNNCCCCCCUAAGGCCUCUUCUUCAGCCCUUCCGAAGCCGACUCCUCCACCCCCUACACCAGUCGCGAUCAUCGAAGAUUUGGAGGAAAUCGAAGAGGUUCCUCUCGAAUCUCAAUCCAAUAAGCCUCGUCUGAUUGAAGGUCCCGAUCUGAAGAUCAUGGAGGCCAACCCACCUCCAACCUCAAUACCCACCUCAGAACCAAACACCGAGACGAGUUCCUCAUAAGGGACGCCUACUACAUUUUGGCCGAGGAGCCCUUCUGGAGGUUUUUCCCUUCAAUCAUCUUGAACACUUCAAGCUACGUGGGGAUGAUGAGCGGUUCAAGGGAUUCUCCUUCGAAGAAUAUUUGGUGACCUACAUCAAGGCCCAGUGUCAGGUAAACCAGAUAACUUAAGAUGUUUUCUUUAUUGAUACUUCAUUCUUCAUUACUGAUGUAUUCUUUCACUGUAUUGUAGGCUAAUGCUAUCCUCGCCCGAGCCAUUUUGCCUCUGGCCAAUGCCAGUAAAAAGGAGGCUCAGAUGAAGACGGAUCUGGAAUUGCUUGGAGCUGAAGUUCAGGGUCUUCGGUCGGAUCUGAAGAAGGAGAAGGAUCUUCACGUCGAGACCCAAAAUAAAGUGACCAGGGCCGAACGUCAGACCGAUGAGCUUAAAGAACAGUAUGCCUUACUUUAGCAAGACUUCAUCGGUCUGGAUAAUCAUGCUAAAAAACACAUUCAAGAGAGAGAUCAUUUGUCAGAAGAAAACAAGGAUCAGGAGCAGGCGCUUCAUGCCCUUGAGGAGAAGUUUAUCGGGAUGCAUGACAAGAUGAUGCAUUUGAUUCGGGAAAACAACACCUUAAGGGAAGAAAGAGCCGAAGUCAAGCAGUGUGCGAUCGAAGAGGAUGAAGAAUCUCCUGCCCCAACUGAGAAGAUCAUGUCUCAUUUUACUGAAGGCUAUGAAGCUUAUCGGGAGAAGGCUCGGACAAAGAUGAAAGCUGUUGGGCUCGAUGUUACCGUCCUUUAUUCUUCCGACAAGGAAUCUGAAGCUAGAGAUGAGGAUCCUCAAGAAUAACUUCUUUUAGGAUUUUUAGAUGUAAUUCUUGUACUUUUUCCUUAGUCCUUUGUUUGUAACUUUCUUGAUCAGUUACGCUUGUAAGUUUUUCAAUCAGUUAUGUUGUUUAUAACUUUCUGAUCGAUUUUGUUCAAAGAUUUUCUGAUCAAAUUUGUAAAAAAUUUUGGAUAUAAAUGAAGAACAAAAUUUUUUUCGAAGAGAAACUCUCAUUGAUUUCAUUGAUAAGUAAAAUGAUUUACAUAAAUAAAGGAGGGAAUGACAUAACUUUUACUGAUAAUAUUUUCUAAGCCUUCCAGCAUGCCAUGUGUUCUUUACUUCCGAACCAUCCAUUACUCGAAGCUGGUAAGUACCUGGCUUCGGCACCUCUACUACUUCAUAAGGCCCCUCCCAGUUCGGCAUCAGCUUGCCAAUGUUCUGGGGGGUCGAUGCCUCUGAUUCUUGAAGAACCAAAUCCCCAACUUCGAAUCUUCUUUGUUUCACCUUUUGGUUAUAUUGUCGGGCUGUUCAUUUUUGGUAAAUUGCCAAUCUCAUCAAAGCUGAGUCCCGAGCCUCUUCCAAGAAAUCUAAGUUUAGUCGUAGGCCGUCAUCAUUAUAUAGCUCCUUGUACUGACUGACCCAAAGUUUAGGAGACCCAAUCUUAACAGGUAUGAGUGCAUCGAUCCCAUAUGCCAAUUUGAAUGGUGAAUCCCCAGUUGUUGUUCUCGGGGUAGUCCGGUAGGCCCACAAAAUAUUGAGUAAUUCUUUAGGCCAUCGACCCUUUAGUACAUCCAACCUCCUUUUGAUACCGUUAAGUAGGGUCCGAUUGGUGACUUCUACUUGACCAUUUGACUGAGGGUGAGCAACGAAAGUCUUUCUAUGUUGAAUUCCCAACUCCUUCAAAAAAGCUUCAAACUUUGAUCCCACGAAUUGUCUGCCAUGCCGAACCGAUAAACAACACUUUCUUUAAAAAAUUUGAGGCAUUCCUGUUCGGUGAUCUUCUGUAGAGGUUUGGCCUCGACCCACUUGGUUAUGUAGUCGAUGGAUACGAUCACGAAAGUAACUUGCCCUUUGGCCUUCGGAAAAGGCCUCAAGAUGUCGAUUCCCCACAUAGAAAAUGGAAUUGGGGAUAAGACUGAAUAUAGCUCUUCAGGAGGUUGAUGAGGGAUGGAACUGUUUAGCUGACACCUAGCACAUUUUUGGACAAAAUCUUUGGCUUCCUGAAAGAUGGUCGACCAAUAGUACCCCUGUCUCAAAAUUUUGUAUGCCAAUGACUUUCCCCCAUAUGAUCCCCACAAAUCCCUCCGUGUACUUCCCGAAGUGUGUAAUCUACUUCCAAAUGCGUCAAACACUUGAGGAGUGGAGAGCUAAAAGACCUUCGGUACAGAUCCCCAUCAAUAAGGAUAAAGUUAGAGCUCAUGUGCUUGAUCUUUCUUUCAUAGAUACGAUCUGAAGGUAGAACCCCAUUAGCCAAAUAAGAGAUGUAUAGGGUCAGCCAGCAGUCCAGUCGAUCCAAAACUAAAACAUCCACCUUCGGAACGUUGGGUUAUUCUAACACCUCUAGAUACAUUGAACUGUUGACGGAACUCUCUUCAGUUGUUGCCAAUCGAGCCAAAACGUCUGCUACAGUGUUGUCUGACCGAUCAAUCCCUUGGAAACUGUGUGUGUAAAACUCCAAAUUUUAUGAAUAAAGAUUUAAUUUUCUCGAAAUAUUUUUUUUAAAUAUUAUGGUGUGGAUUUGAGAUAAUGUUAUAGUUGUGAGUAGUAUUUAUAAAUUUUGCAAAGUAUGCAAGUUGUUAUAUAAUAUUCGAUUGGUCGAGAAAUAUUCUUUUUGUCGGGAAAUAUCCGUACGACGAUACAAUCAUUGGUGGACCCCACAACGGAAUUAUUGUCGGAUUGAGAAAACGACAAAAAUAUUUUUAUGAAAAUAACGGGAGAAGUUUUACCGUUAAAAUUGUUGAACUACUCAGUAGUAAAAGUACAGUAAUACACGUGGUUGCAUAGUAGCACACGGUAUUGAUUAUUGAUGCUUACGUGAGAAGUCACUUAGUUUUGUUCAAUUAUUGCUAUAGUAAUUGUUGCAUAGUAUCUCAUGUUAUUUGAUUCAAUUAUUGUCGAUAUUUUUAUAUUAUUAAAUCAAUAAUUGAGAUGAUAAUUUGUUAAUAUUAUUAUUUGCAAUAUUAACGAUGUCUAGAAGUUCUGUCAAGGAGAGGUUUGGUAACCUAAUUGCGCGUCAAUAGGGAGAAAUUCUUAUUGAAAAGCCCCCUCUUUUCUGGGAACAACCUGGUCGAUUAAUAUUAUGAAUUAUAAUAAUGGUGAUAAGUUUGUUUUAUUAUUAUUAUAAAUAUAAUAAAACAGAAAACUUUUUAUAUAAAACAGAAUAUUUUUAUAAAGUUAUUUAUUUUAUUAGACUAUAAAUAGAAUAUAUUAUAUUCUAUUAUGCAUAGUGUUUGCAUAGUAAAAUCUUUUUAUAUAAAACAGAAUAUUUUUAUAAAGUUAUUUAUUUUAUUAGACUAUAAAUAGAAUAUAUUAUAUUCUAUUAUGCAUAGUGUUUGCAUAGUGCAUGCAUAGUGUUUGCAUAGUAAAAUCUUUUUAUAUAAAACAGAAUACUUUUAUAAAGUUAUUUGUUUUAUCAGAUUUUAAAUAAUAUAUAUAUAUAUAUAUAUAUAUAUAUUAUAAAUAGAAUAUAUUAUAUUUUAUUGCAUAGUAUCCUUUCUAUUUCUCUUAUAAAUAGGAUGCUUAGUUAGAAUUGAAAAACCACAACAGAAAUUCAGAGAAUUCUUCUUCUAUAAUAUUGAGCGUAUUUCUUUAGAGUUUAAGAAAGCUUUGAGCGUAGAAAUAGUGCAUGUUUUCUUCAAGAAUAUCCUCGCCCUACCAGUCGGAAUACUUUUUUUUUAAGGUAAGAGAUAUUAUUUGUUGUACUCGUAAGGGGUAUUAUUUCUUUUGUAUUCAUGAAGAGAGCUAUUGUUAUUCCAUUCCUUAUUAUUCCAUUGGAAUAACCUGUAUACGCGGACUACCGUAUACAUGGUGAAAUUCUUCUGUUAGUCUAUUCUUUAUUAUUCUGUCGGAAUAUCAUGUCUGUGCGUUUACGCAUGACCUGGUUCCAUUCUUUAUUAUUCUGUUGGAAUAACCUGUCUGUGCGAUCUAUCGCAUGCAUAGUGAAUUCUUCUAUUAUUCCAUUAUUUAUUAUUCUGUUAGAAUAACCUGUCGGUGCGGUCUAUCGCAUGCAUGGUGAAUUCUUCUGUUAUUCCAUUCUUUAUUAUUCUGUUGGAAUAACCUGUCUAUGUGAAUUACCGCAUGCAUGGUGAAUGAUCCUUCGUUUUCAUAUGAAUAGUAUUUUCAUUCAAAAGGGGUUUCUGCCAGGGGCAGUUUCAUAAUUUUUUUGGCCCUCAAAAUUUCUGGAAAAAUUUGAAAUGAUAAUUUGAUGAGUUUUCUAGAUUGUGUCCAAAAAUGGCAAUUUUUGGACGUAUAGAUUAGGAGUUAUGAAUUUUAUAGGAAAGGACUAUUUUAAAAGUAAACCCUUAUAACUCCUUGUGGUUAACUCUAAAAUUGGUGAAAUUUUUAUUGGGAGUACAUGUAUAUAACAGGAGUAUAUCCUGUAAAUUUCAGAAUUUUUGGACAAAAGUACAAUUUAUGAUAAAUGUCUAAAUAUUCGGCAGUUUUAGCCAUAUGAAAAAUAGUAAAUGAAUUUUAAAAAUUCUGAGAAAAAUAUAUUUUCAAGAUAGGACUAUAUUCUGCUAAAUCCCAGAAAAGAAAUAUUUUUGGGACUGAUUUGGUAUUUUUCAUGAAAAUGAACUAGUUAUGAGUAAAUGAAUUAAAUAUGUUAUGUGAAGUAAUAAAAUUGGAAAAUAGAAUUUUAUGGCUUAGGAAUCCUAUAUAGGGUAUAUGUAGAUUUUUUGAUGAGGGAUUUGAUCAUUGAUGAUGAAAUCUAAUGAGUAUGACAUUUUUGAAUGAUUAAAUGCAUUAUUUGAUAAAGUGUAAACAAUUGAAAUAAAUUGUUUAUAAGUUUAAGAAAUGAUUAAAAUAUUGUUAUAAUAUUAAUNNNNNNNNNNNNNNNNNNNNNNNNNNNNNNNNNNNNNNNNNNNNNNNNNNNNNNNNNNNNNNNNNNNNNNNNNNNNNNNNNNNNNNNNNNNNNNNNNNNNNNNNNNNNNNNNNNNNNNNNNNNNNNNNNNNNNNNNNNNNNNNNNNNNNNNNNNNNNNNNNNNNNNNNNNNNNNNNNNNNNNNNNNNNNNNNNNNNNNNNNNNNNNNNNNNNNNNNNNNNNNNNNNNNNNNNNNNNNNNNNNNNNNNNNNNNNNNNNNNNNNNNNNNNNNNNNNNNNNNNNNNNNNNNNNNNNNNNNNNNNNNNNNNNNNNNNNNNNNNNNNNNNNNNNNNNNNNNNNNNNNNNNNNNNNNNNNNNNNNNNNNNNNNNNNNNNNNNNNNNNNNNNNNNNNNNNNNNNNNNNNNNNNNNNNNNNNNNNNNNNNNNNNNNNNNNNNNNNNNNNNNNNNNNNNNNNNNNNNNNNNNNNNNNNNNNNNNNNNNNNNNNNNNNNNNNNNNNNNNNNNNNNNNNNNNNNNNNNNNNNNNNNNNNNNNNNNNNNNNNNNNNNNNNNNNNNNNNNNNNNNNNNNNNNNNNNNNNNNNNNNNNNNNNNNNNNNNNNNNNNNNNNNNNNNNNNNNNNNNNNNNNNNNNNNNNNNNNNNNNNNNNNNNNNNNNNNNNNNNNNNNNNNNNNNNNNNNNNNNNNNNNNNNNNNNNNCACAAUUAUGAUUAUGAGUUAUUCAUAUGAUUGUGGACAAGAAUUGUUGAUUGAUGUUAUAAGGAUAAAACAUUAUCGGUGGACUUUUAACAUAGAGAAGAUAAUAGAUCUGAUGGUCUAUUUAACUCUUCUAAUGGAUUGCUUGUUCCGCUGCAACUAUGGUUGAAAAGUUUUAUCAUCUACCAUAUGUUCUAAAUCUCUGAUUUAUUACUGAUGAAGGUUAUUGAUGAUGUAAAUUAUCUAUAGUCAUGAUAUUCUUUACUGGGCUAGUUGAGCUCACCCUUUUUGCUUAACAGUUCCUUUCAGGUAAUAAGAGUGUAGCUGGGUCGAGCGGGGAUAACAGGAGAAUAGAAUGGUGGUCUAUAGCUGUUGAGGUUCUCCCUAAAUAGUAUGGAAAUAAUUUUAUUGAUAACUUUAGAUAAGUGUGUCGCAUUGUAUACGUCAUUUGAUAUUUAAUUUUGGUGAACCGAAUAGGGUGAGGUGAACCCAACUUUGGAAGGGUGUUUUGCCACUAUCAUACAAGAUGUCUAAUGACAUACAACCUCGUGUUAUCAUAAGACAGGGUUGUGCACAUCCACUUGCUGAGUAUAUCUACGAGCACUACCUAUAUGAUCUUGGAGUUUGUUUGAAAUAUAAUUUUCAAUUGGAGACAGUGGAGAUAGUUAUAUGUCAAGAGAAGACUCACCAUUGGAAAGAACAUGAUAGUAAUCUUCUCAUUUUUCUUUGGGGUCUAUUGGGUCAACCAAGGAUAAUUCUGUGGACAUAUGAUAUCUAUCAUAACCUAGACGCAUGGCCUCCCAUGUACGAAGGUUUCCUUGAGCACUUCCCAAAGAUUUUAAUUUCUAAAACAGUUUUUGACUAUACUUUUAUGUAAAGUACCAUUGUAAGGUUGUGGUCGAGGCACCAUGAGAGUUACAUACAUUUGUAUUAAAACUCAUAGUUAACUAUUGUCGUAUUCUAUAUGACAGUUCAACAGUUGUAUAAAUGAAGUUUGUAUUUGAUUUUUAUAGUGUGAUAUCUGGCGACUCAGAAUGGGUCGUGUGGACCUAUUUUGGGGGCGUCACAGUGUGAGUCGAAGUACAUGAGUUUUUCUUUUACUUCGGUUAAGUACUUUGUCAUCUUAGUCCCUCGAGCCUUAUACUCCCAGAUAUCUAUUUGACAACCAAUUGGGAAUCAUUGUAGAUGACUAACUUCUGCACUUCCAAGCUUUGGGCCAACUGUAGUCCAGCUAGAAUGGCUUCAUAUUCUGCUUCAUUGUUUGUGGCUUUAAAUUAAAACCUAAUAGCUUGUUGGACUUUGAACCCUUCUGGAUUUGUCAGAAUAACCCCUGCUCCGUUGAUGUCCGAAGUUGAUGACCCAUCUACAUAGAGAGUCCAUGACUUUUACAACUAUUGUGUUUCAGUAACCGACCCCACAUCCGGUUCUGUGAAUGAACAUUCUACUAUGAAGUCUGCCAAAACCUGUCCUUUGAUUGCCGUUUGGGGAUGGUAUUCCAAAGUGAACUGAGUCAAUUCCAUCACCCACGCAGUAUGCCGGCCCGAGACAUCUGGCUUAUGUAGUACCUUCUUCAACAGCUGAUCUGUAUACACCACCACCAACCGACCUUGGAAAUAAUGCCUAAGCUUCAUGCUUGCAAUGAUUAAGGCGUAAACGAACUUUUCCAGGUUUGGGUAUCUAGUCUCUGCAUCUCGAAGAACGUGGCUGACAUAGUAUACCGGGAAUUGCCUUCCCCCUUUGUCCCUUACAAGUUCUACCUCCACUGCCAUCGAGCUUGCAGCUAAAUAUAAAUAUAAGGGUUUCGAAAGAAUUGGCUUCAUCAAUAGUGGUACCGAUGAUAGGUAUCGUUUGAUUCCUUGGAACGCAUCUUUACACUCUGAAGUCCACUAAAAACUCUUCUCAUUUUUUGGCCCCUUCAAAGUAUCAAAGAAUGGCAGACAUCUUUCUGCUGAUCAUGAUACAAAUCUCCGCAGGGCAGCAAUCCGUCCUGUCAACCUUUGAACAUCCUUGUAAGACUUCGGGGAUUUCAUAUCUAAGAUCGCCUAAAUCUUCUCCAGGUUUGCUUUGAUUCCCCUUUUGCUGAUCAGAUACCCCAAAAACUUUCCAGACCCCAAUCCGAAGGUGCACUUAGUCGGGUUCAAACAUAGCUUAUGUCUCCUAACUAUUUCAAAGCAGCUUUCUAGGUCCUCGAGAUGAUCUCGGACUGACAUGCUUUUCACAAUCAUGUCAUCCAUAUAGACUUCCAUACUUUGGCCUAACUGCUUUAUGAACACGAAGUUCAUCAUUCGCUGUUACGUCACCCCGACGUUUAAUAGCCCGAAGGUCAUCUUCCGAUAAGCAUAAAUGGCCCGAUGCAUAAUGAAACUCGUUUUCGGGAUGUCCUCCUUACUCAUUGAGAUCUGAUGGUACCCCGAAAAGGCGUCCAUGAAACUUAGCAUACCAUACCUCGAUGUGGCAUCGAUCAACUGGUUUAUGUUGGGCAAAGGAUAGAAAUCUUUCGGGCAUGCCUUGUUCAGGUCCGUAUAAUCGAUACAUAAUCUCUACUUCCCGUUCUUUUUCUGAACCAAAACCACAUUAGCCAGCCACUCGGGGUAAUGGAUUUUGAAAAUAAAUUCUGCUUCCAAGAGUUUUACGAUCUCUUCGUCUAUGAUUCUCUGACUUUCUGGAGUAAAUGUUCUUCUUUAUUGUAUGAUUGGCUUUCUCUUAGGGUCCACAUGCAGCUUGUGCAGUGCUACCGACUCACUUACCCCAAACAUGUCACUAGGUUCCCAUGAAAAGAUGUCAACGUAGACCCGAAGUAGAUCUAUUAGCCCGGUUCGAAGUGGUUCUGUCAACCCUGAUCUAAUCUUGACCAAUUUCUCAUCAUUCCCCAGGAUUAAUUCCACAUCAUCCAUUUCCUCGGCAGGCAAGGCAAGCGAUUAUGUGCUGCUUUCAGUGAAUGGCUCUAUCUCGAUGGCCAUUGUUUACUUUUGUUUACUUACCCCGACUCCUGAUGAGAUCAAAGUAUUUCGAUAACACCUUCAAGAUAUAUCAAGAUCGCCUUUUACCACUCCGAUCCCAUUCGGUGUUGGAAACUUGAUUUUAAAGUGAGGUAUGGACGUGACUGCUUGCAAGGCUGCUAGGGUCAGACUUCCCAGAAUUGCAUUUCAUGCCGAAUCUACCUGGACCACGAAAAAUCUGACCAUGAUCUCUACCCGCUGAGGUGCUGUACCAAACCUAACAGACAGCUCAAUAGUUUCUGACACAUGCACCAGAUCUCCAUUAAACCCGUAUAGGGGGCCUUCUCCUCCUAGCUCCAUCUUUUUAUCCUCUAAGUCCAUCCUCUGGUAAGCGUGAGUGUAUAGUAUGUCAACUGAAGACCCAUUGUCGAUCAUCAUUCUCCUCAUGUCUACCGGGCCAACCUAGGUCGUUAUCACCAACGCUCUGUCGUGCGGCUCAAUAAGGUCUGUGGGAUAGUCUUUGUCAGAGAAAGAGAUAGAUGUUCCUGGGAAUGCCCGAUCCUUCCUUGGCGAAGACCCCGUGACUGAUAAUACUGCAUCGAGGUGCCCUCCCCUCUUCUUUCCCGUCAUACGCCAUACAGAACCACCUGAUAUGACAUCAAUCACGCCUCAAGCUGGAGGGUUCUAUUUCGGUUGUGUGUCCCUAGUCGUCCCUCUGUUUUCUUCCCUCUGUGCCUCUGCAUUCUCCCGACCUGCCACAUACUGGACUAGCUGGCUGUUCUGGACAUUUUUCUCUAUUAGGUCUUUCAGAUCAUUACACAUCUCCAUUGUAUGCCAGAUCUUUCAGAUCGGCAGGAGGGUUGAUUACCAGAUCUUUCAUCAACUUCUUCGAUUUUCCUAUGUCCAAACAUGUUGUGAAAAAUCCCAAGGCCUAAGGGGAGUUCAAUUCUGCCACCGAUCCUACUGCCUCCCGAAACCUUUUAACAUAUUGGCCGAGGCUUUCAUCUGAACGUUGCCUCACCUGCAUUAAAGAGGCAGUGAUCUUCCCCCUUCUUUUGUUACUCCCGAACCGAGCAUGAAACUUUUCCUGAAGGUCAUUCCAUGAACUGAUUGAUCCUGCUGCCAAAGUUCCCAUCCAUUCUCGGGAACUCUUCUUCAAAGUCGUAGUGAACAUAUGGCAUUUGGCAACAUCUGAAUGGUCGUAGUAAGUCAUCAGCCUGUCAUACCCGUCAGAGUGAUCAUACAGGUCCCCCAAUCCAUCAUAAGUCUCCAUCGGGGGCAUUUUCUUCUUUGGGUCGGCCGUGACUUUAUUGAUUUUGGGGGAGAAUGGUGAACUGGGGUAACUCUGAGGUGUUCCCAUCGGGCUUUUUGCCGCCAGUAGCUUUUUAAACUCCGCAACCCUUCGAGCAAGGGGAUCGAACUCCUCUUUACGAGGGGACGACCUGUGCCUAUCCCUCUCGUAUUCAGGAGACGCGACCCUCCUCCUUUGGCCCGAUCUGCCCUGGUAUUCAGACUUUCUGUCUACAGAACGACUCCUCAUUCGGCUUCUGCCUUCCCGAGAGCGACUCCUAGGUCUACUCCUUUCCCUUCCAACUUCCUCCUGACGUGGCAUCCGGGAUCGGCUCCGAUGUCUGCGCCUUUUUGAAGAAGCCUCCUUUUUUGAAGACGUAGUGCCGUCAUGGCCUCUUUGUUCUGCUGCAACUUCCUUUGCAGAAUGAAUUCACGCUGAUCUCGACUGCCUUCUACCCUAUCUCUCCCUCGCCUUUCAUAUGCCUGAGACUGAUUGUCGCCUGCAUGGUUGAUGGGGAUGGGUGUAUACUGAUUGGUCAAAAAUAGCCAUCUCCGGAUAGAUUGGGUGUGAUCAGCCUCGUCUCCCUGUUUCUUAGAACCCAAUCUAUCUUUUACUGACCCCCUCACCUGGGUGGUGUGGUGGGUCUUUGCAUUUUCUUGGUUAGAAGCACUGUUAUCUUUGCUCGCCAUGGCUCUCUACCGAAAAAGUAACACAGUGAUUGUCGAUGCACUAAAAACCCCUCCUUCUAGCUCCAAUGUUAACGCCAAGUUUUGUCGGCGCGUUCAAUCACCAAAUCCACUAACUAAAUCCUGCACAAUAACAGAUCACACGCGAAGCUUGACGACUUGUGCCGUCGCGGGAUAACUCUAGUGUGAGAAUGAGUACAGGCCAUUUACAAGAUUUAACAAUGGAGGCUUUAGUGUUUAGUGCUCAAAAGUAUAUUAACCUAUUAAUUUGAAAUUUAGCCUUGUAUUUGUAGCCUAUCUCAUGCCUUAGAAUCCACUUUCGAGUCGGAUUAGGACUCCUAAAUAUGGCAGUUACCAUUAUUUGGGUCCAACACAAUCUCCUUGAAAGGUGCAAGUUGGAUCCAAUCCAAAUACUACAUUUGGAGUUACCUUAUACAGAUAUGAUUAGGACUAGAAUCCUUAACCAUUUAAACCCCUUAUGACUCCGAACUCCAUACAAGGGCUAACCCACUGUAUAGGCCCAAUUCAACUGAACCCCUAUGCAUUGGUCUGGGCUCCGGCCCAAAGGACUCGGAUGCCCGACCCUGAACGCCAUAAACUCGAAUAGGACUCCGGCCUAGAGGACUCAGAUUCUCGAACCUGAUCACCAUCAACUAGAACAAGAUUCCAGCCUAGAGGACUCGGAUUCCCGAACCCGAAUACCUUCAACAUCCCUGUGGGCUUUGGCCCAAUGGGCUUAACAUCCCAUUCUGGUGUCAGGCCUUCAGCCCACAUGAAGGUCAGUAAAAUUCUCCCGAAUAGUAUGGAAUAAUUCAUUUCAUCUAUAAUAGAAUGAAUCAUUCCACUCCAUUUCUAUUCUCUAUGCAUAUUUAUGGAGUAUCAUUAGUCAUCUGUUGAAAAUUAUGUAAUUAAAUGAGAAACUAAAUAUGAAUAAUUUUCUCAUUUGAUUCUCUUUAUUAACGUGUACAAAAAUAAGUAGAAUUUUUAUCUUGAGAGGGAGAGUAAUAAAUUACCUACAAUUGAUUGAGUUUGUGCUCGUAGAAUUUGCUCAAGAGAACAAACAUUUGAGUACAAUUGGAGAGAGGAUGCAUAUUUUUUUUAUUAUUUGAAUGGCAAUAUAGUUAAUAUGGGAGAAUAUAUAUAAAAAAAAUUGGGGCGGGACAGGAUACGUGAACCUUUAAACCUUUAUAAAACAGACAGUUGGUGAAUUUAAAACCCAAAAGCUUUAUGAACCUUUUGAACCCCUCACACCUCCCAAACUCGUAACACGGUCACAAGUGCCUCAACUAAAACACUGAGGAAACUUCUUAAUAAUUGGGUGAAUAUAUACAAAACUAAGCCCAACUUACCAUAUAAAUAAAUUCGACGCCUCUCUUCUUUUACAACUUCUCUUGUAGUAAGCUAAAUUUCUAAGCUAAAUUUCACUGCAAUGGCAUCUGCUCCACCCCGCAUCAUAUACAACAACUUUUCCGGCUAAUACAAUCUUGCAUUUGUCUCUAUAAGCUCCUCCCAACCCAACUGCCAACCUAAUAUGCUGCUGAUCACCCAAAAGCAAGCCAUUUUUGCCUUUGCUGUUUCCGCUCUCCUCAAUAUCCUACAAUUGAAGUACAGUGGAAAUACCAAUUCUCCAUUUGAUAAGCACCCAAAAGUCGUGGGGAUCGCAAUUAUUAGUUUCCUCGUAUGGCAUGCGACGCUGAGCUAAGGAUUUCUUCUGCUCCUAUCUCUCCGAAUUAUGCCAAUGUAAUUCAUCCUGUUGUGAGAUUGCUCGGUUACUUCUCGGUAGCAUCUUUAGCCUCGGUUCUUGUUUUCCCAAUCUCUUUUCGGCCAAUUGGUUAUCUAGUUUUAGCCUUGUUUUCAGUUUGGUUGCUGCCUUGGGUUCGGACCAGAAUUUUGAGUGGAAGGGGCUACACUUACAAUAGUCCUAGUGGACGAGUUGAUGUCCCUUCGAUCCACGACUCUGUUGACACAGAUACCCUUCCAGUUUAACUGGAAGCUGAAUCUGCAAACCACAUUAUAGUUCCAUUAUUAGUGUGCAAAAUUAGGAGUACAUGUAAUCCAGAUCAUAUUAUGUGUAGUGUCCGGUGUUUUAUUUUAUGCAAAUAAAAUAUUACAAAGUUAACAAAAAAAAUAUUAUAUAUAUAUAUAUAUAUAUAUAUAUAUAUAUAUAUUAAUUUAUUAAUUUAUACAAUGAGUUUUGGUGUGUAAGAUGACUGAGUAAAAAUUAAUCUACACAUGGAGAUAUUAUAUCCGUUCCAAAUAAAACUAAUAGACCUAUUCUUGGGGAAAGUUUUCCUUGCUUGUUAAGCAAAUCAUGUGAUAUACUUAACAAUCUAAAUACUUGCUGAAC